GAUGAACGCUAGCGGCAGGCCUAACACAUGCAAGUCGAGGGGUAGAAGGAGCUUGCUCCUUUGAGACCGGCGCACGGGUGCGUAACGCGUAUGCAAUCUACCUUGUACAGGGGAAUAGCCCAGAGAAAUUUGGAUUAAUGCACCAUAGUAUAUAACCUUCGCAUGUUGGUUAUAUUAAAGUUCCAACGGUACAAGAUGAGCAUGCGUCCCAUUAGUUAGUUGGUAAGGUAACGGCUUACCAAGACGAUGAUGGGUAGGGGUCCUGAGAGGGAGAUCCCCCACACUGGUACUGAGACACGGACCAGACGCCUACGGGAGGCAGCAGUGAGGAAUAUUGGUCGAUGGUCGCAAGACUGAACCAGCCAUGCCGCGUGCAGGAAGACGGUCCUAUGGAUUGUAAACUGCUUUUAUACAGGAAGAAACCCUCCCACGUGUGGGAGCUGGACGGUACUGUAGGAAUAAGGAUCGGCUAACUCCGU
rnacentral:rRNA from 1 species